AGGGCAUCAUUGAUGUUGCAAUCCGCUACUAUUUAAUUGCUAUCGAGCUCCGACCAAAUUUUGUUGAUGCAUGGUCAAAUUUAGCAAGUGCAUAUAUGCGUAAAGGGCAGUUUAACGAGGCAGCUCAAUGUUGUCGCCAGGCUCUUGCACUGAAUCCACGUUUGGUUGAUGCACACAUUAAUCUUGGGAAUUUGAUGAAAGCUCAAGGAUUAGUUCAAGAGGUGAGG